AUAGUACUUUCUUCGUCCGAAAAAGAUUAACCCUCAAAUAGAUGUAUCUAGCAUCAAGGUAGUGCUAGAUACAUCCAUUUAAGAGACAAAAUUGGGACAAGUCUUUUCGGACGAAGGGAGUACCAU
rfam:Triticum urartu cultivar G1812 contig313330, whole genome shotgun sequence.